rnacentral:lncRNA from 1 species
AGCUUCUGAAAGGGGCUUGGAGCUCCUCUGUGCCGGAAGUAUGAAACCUGCCUGACACUGGCAUCCCUCCUCUGCAGAAGAACAGUUGUAUGGAAGGGCUCCAGGCAUGUGUACCUUUUCUGGGGAUAUGUAGGAAACUGGAAAGGAAUGGGAAAAAUGAGAUUGAUUGUGGGCUUGGAGACAUGCAGUGAAGAGUGGUGCUAGAAGGCAAAAGCUUGUCAGCUGAUGAGGAGAAAAGCUCUGGUGUGUUGUUUGGUCACUGAGUGAUUAUGAACCUCUGAAGUAGUAUGGCUGUGUAAAAAAACAAAUGUAUUGUAAGAUUUCUUUGGUUUAUACAGAAGCAUUAAUGUCUUUGUGGGAAUCAUCAGUAUGAGUAGUGAAUACAGCACUGGUGCCUCAUAGUCAAAACAGAUGGAUUCAAGCUGGAGAAAAUGCAGACCAAGAUUUAGGCUUUGAUAAUUAAAAAGCAAACAGCCCCUCGCUUCUUCGGCCUAGAAAA